GCACCGGUAGCACAGGGGUAGUGUGCUGCGGAGGCUUAAUCUGUAGACGGUGGUUCCAUUCCACUUUGUUGUC
rnacentral:tRNA from 1 species